UACGAAGGGGGCUAGCGUUACUCGGAUUGACUGGACGUAAAGGGCGCGUAGGCGGUUUGUACAGUCAGACGUGAAAUUCCUGGGCUCAACCUGGGGGCUGCGUUUGAUACGUGCAGACUUGAGUUCGGAAGAGGGUCGUGGAAUUCCCAGUGUAGAGGUGAAAUUCGUAGAUAUUGGGAAGAACACCGGUGGCGAAGGCGGCGACCUGGUCCGAUACUGACGCUGAGGCGCGAAAGCGUGGGGAGCAAACGGG
rnacentral:rRNA from 1 species